UACGUAGGGCGCAAGCGUUGUCCGGAAUUAUUGGGCGUAAAGAGCUCGUAGGCGGCCAGUUGCGUCUGCUGUGAAAUCCCGGGGCUCAACCCCGGGCGUGCAGUGGAUACGGGCUGGCUAGAGGCAGGCAGGGGAGAACGGAAUUCCCGGUGUAGCGGUGAAAUGCGCAGAUAUCGGGAGGAUCACCGGUGGCGAAGGCGGUUCUCUGGGCCUGUACUGACGCUGAGGAGCGAAAGCGUGGGGAGCGAACAGG
rnacentral:rRNA from 1 species